rnacentral:rRNA from 1 species
ACGCUGGCGGCAUGCCUUACACAUGCAAGUCGAACGGCAGCACGGAGCUUGCUCUGGUGGCGAGUGGCGAACGGGUGAGUAAUAUAUCGGAACGUACCCUAGAGUGGGGGAUAACGUAGCGAAAGUUACGCUAAUACCGCAUACGAUCUAAGGAUGAAAGUGGGGGAUCGCAAGACCUCAUGCUCGUGGAGCGGCCGAUAUCUGAUUAGCUAGUUGGUAGGGUAAAAGCCUACCAAGGCAUCGAUCAGUAGCUGGUCUGAGGGGACGACCAGCCACACUGGAACUGAGACACGGUCCAGACUCCUACGGGAGGCAGCAGUGGGGAAUUUUGGACAAUGGGCGAAAGCCUGAUCCAGCAAUGCCGCGUGAGUGAAGAAGGCCUUCGGGUUGUAAAGCUCUUUUGUCAGGGAAGAAACGGUGAGAGCUAAUAUCUCUUGCUAAUGACGGUACCUGAAGAAUAAGCACCGGCUAACUACGUGCCAGCAGCCGCGGUAACACGUAGGGUGCAAGCGUUAAUCGGAAUUACUGGGCGUAAAGCGUGCGCAGGCGGUUUUGUAAGUCUGAUGUGAAAUCCCCGGGCUCAACCUGGGAAUUGCAUUGGAAACUGCAAGGCUAGAA